CCUGUUAGAACAGGUCCAGAAGAGGCCAUGGAGAUGAGCAGAGGCAUGGAGCACCUCUCCUAUGAAGACAGUUCAUUUACAGGACAGUCUAUGUAGCGUGAAUGUUGCCUUCUCCUCCGUCUUGUCUCCAGUCCUUUCAGAUUUUCUUGCCUGCCUAUCAAAAGUGUCAUCUUUAAUUCAGGUGCUGCUGAUAUUUAUGAAGUACCCCUCACUGGGAGAGUUCUGUGCCAGAAUAAGGCACAAAUAAAACGCAAUAAAAGAAAAAUUUAAAAAGUUUCAAAUUACUAGUACAAUUAAAUUAAUAAAAUCUAAGUAUUUCAAAUGUAUGGGGUAUUGUUAGGGAGCUGAAACAUAACUGUAAAGAGACCUACCUAGGCCAAAAUUUCAUCAGUUUAGAACGAGCGGAA